rnacentral:rRNA from 1 species
AACGAACGCUGGCGGCAGGCUUAACACAUGCAAGUCGAGCGCCCCGCAAGGGGAGCGGCCGACGGGUGAGUAACGCGUGGGAACGUACCUUUUGGUUCGGAACAACUCCAGGAAACUGGAGCUAAUACCGGAUAAGCCCUAACGGGGAAAGAUUUAUCGCCGAAAGAUCGGCCCGCGUCUGAUUAGCUAGUUGGUGAGGUAACGGCUCACCAAGGCGACGAUCAGUAGCUGGUCUGAGAGGAUGAUCAGCCACACUGGGACUGAGACACGGCCCAGACUCCUACGGGAGGCAGCAGUGGGGAAUAUUGGACAAUGGGCGCAAGCCUGAUCCAGCCAUGCCGCGUGAGUGAUGAAGGCCUUAGGGUUGUAAAGCUCUUUUGUCCGGGAAGAUAAUGACUGUACCGGAAGAAUAAGCCCCGGCUAACUUCGUG